rnacentral:rRNA from 1 species
UUCAGAGGGUGCAAGCGUUGCUCGGAUUUACUGGGCGUAAAGCGUACGCAGAAGGUAAGAAAGGUCGGAUGUGAAAGCCCCGGGCUCAACCCGGGAACUGCAUCCGAAACCAUCUUGCUAGAGUAUGAGAGAGGUAAGCGGAAUUCCUGGUGUAGAGGUGAAAGUCGUAGAGAUCAGGAGGAACACCGGCGGCGAAGGCGGCUUACUGGCUCAUGACUGACGUUCAGGUACGAAAGCGUGGGUAGCAAACAGG